rnacentral:misc_RNA from 1 species
UUAAACGUUACUUCGGUAACUUAAUAUCCUCAACACCUGUGCAUCUUGUCGCUCCGGCGAUAUCAUACAAACAUCAGUGUAAAGAAUGUAUUAUAUUAUAACAAAUA